UACGUAGGGUCCGAGCGUUGUCCGGAAUUAUUGGGCGUAAAGGGCUCGUAGGCGGUUCGUCACGUCGGGAGUGAAAACUCGGGGCUUAACCCCGAGCCUGCUUCCGAUACGGGCAGACUAGAGGUAGGCAGGGGAGAGCGGAACUCCUGGCGUAGCGGUGGAAUGCGCAGAUAUCAGGAAGAACACCGGUGGCGAAGGCGGCUCUCUGGGCCUUACCUGACGCUGAGGAGCGAAAGCGUGGGUAGCGAACAGG
rnacentral:rRNA from 1 species